rnacentral:lncRNA from 1 species
CUCAAUACCCUCUGCCAUUACUUCUCUCUCAAUACCCUCUGCCAUUACUUCUCUCUCACUUUCCUCUCUCUCUCUCUCUAAGAUUUGUACCUACCUUUCAAACACUUCGCCAAAAACCGCUUCACAAAACCAUCACUGGUUUUCCGGCAAACAAAUCUCGGACCAGACAUCGAUAUCGAUAUCGAUUCACUCCUCUCUCUCUCCCUCUAGGGUUUCUUCGCUUCUUCCUCGCAGUGUAUGUUUCGAGCACCUCAUCAUUUCUCUGGUGAUAUUUAGGUAGUUUAUCGUAAUAUUUGAAUAUAAUCUUUUUUUUUUACUUUGUCUAACGGGUUGGAUCAUUCCACUAAAAUUUAUCAGCCUCUUCAUAAGACUCUCAUUUUCAUGAUGAUUUUACAAUCAAAUAUAUCGCGUAUGUGUUGAUUGUUUAGAGUUAGUCAUUUAUUUUCCGUCUUAAUUUUCAUUCUUUAACAUUAAUUGAUUACUAAAUUAUUGUUUUAAAGAUAAAAUACGCCAAUAUUAUUGCAAUUCAUCUCUUAUCUUGUUUUCUGGCUUUCAAAUAUCUGUUUUUUUUUGUUUUAGUUCAUUUUUGCAUAUGAAUUUCUCAACAACAUUAAAGAGGAAGAAUUGAGGUUAAAGGUUUGUAUUCUCUUUGUAUGUCAUCUUUAUACCAUACGUUUGUUAUCAUAUAUAAAACGUGUAUAUAGAUUAUAUGCAUACAUAUAUUUAUCACUUAUGUGUAAAAUAAAAAUGUUAUAUAUAUACGAUGAUGAUACUAAAAUAUAGCUGGAGAAAUUCAAUAAAUCACCCAGGCCUUAUGUCACGUUGGCUGUAAGUUGUAUAAUAACUUCUAUGUUGGUCCCUCGCACCGUGCACAUAAUUAUAUUUUUCAUUUCAGGUUCUUAAAAAAUAUUUAAGCAAAAAAAAGUUCUAAAAGUUGCAAAAAGAGAUUUUUAUUUGAACAACAAUUUCAAAACCUGCUAAUGAUUACAAUAUGCUUGCUAACAAAUGAGUCCAAAAUUUCUCUUUUAGCUUUCUCUUUCCUCUCUCCUAAAUAAUCAAUAUUCUAUUAUAAAAAUGGAAUUUAAAUGGUUUACUCUAAAUCAAAUAUUACAAAUCAUUAUACAUCUUUUUUUUUUGAACAACACAAAUCAUUAUACAUCAAAAUUGAAUUAUUAAGUGAUUUUUCAUGUACACUACUACAUACAAUUCUUAGUCCGUUUUAAAGUUAUAGUUUUAACCUGCUGGUUAGUUUUUUCUAGAACGCAAAAAAAUGGGGAGGUUUGAAUAAUUUGGAAUUUGUGAAAUUCAUUAUUUUUGGUUGGUUAUUUAAUAGCAUAUUAAUAUAUGAGUGUGAUGUUUUAUUUUUGUUUUUUUUUUCUGAAAGGCUCUUCCUUCUUUUGCUUUCAAUUAGUGGGUCCUUUGUUUCCUACAAGCAUCUGCAAUUUCUUCGUUUUUCAAUUUGCCUAUAUCCUUUUGUAACAUCUUCAAGAGGAAGAUAGAAAACUCCAAAAUAUUAUAAUUGUUCACGUGGAUAAAGUAUUGCCAUACAUUUUUCACAAUAUUGGUGAAAUUUAUCUUCUUCUUGACUUGACUCGACUCGUACCUAAGAAGAAACCCUAAUUUUUUGACAUCUCACAAAACGUUCUGCUACUUUUGUUUUUAUAGGGUUUGCUUUCAGUUUCCAGCAUAAACAAGAUGUUCGAGCCAAAUAUGUUGCUUGCAGCUAUGAACAACGAAGAUAGCAAUAACCACAACUACAACCAUGAAGUCAACAACAAUAACAAUGAAGGAUUUCUUCGGGACGAUGAAUUCGACAGUGCAAAUACUAAAUCGGGAAGUGAGAAUCAAGAAGGAGGAUCAGGAAAUGAUCAAGAUCCUCUUCAUCCCAAUAAGAAGAAACGAUAUCAUAGACACACACAACUUCAGAUCCAGGAGAUGGAAGCGUAUAUGCAUAUUAUUCACUCAUAAAUUUCAUGUUUUACUUAUUCGAAAAAAACGUUUUUCAUUUUUGACAAUUAAUUUAAUAUUAUUAUUUUGGUGGAUAAAUAGAUUCUUCAAAGAGUGUCCUCACCCGGAUGACAAGCAAAGGAAACAACUGAGCCGUGAAUUGGGUUUGGAACCUCUUCAGGUCAAGUUCUGGUUCCAAAACAAACGCACCCAAAUGAAGGUAUAUAUAUACUCUUAUGUCCACAUACAUUUCUGGAUAUACAUAAGAUAAUUUUGAUGUAUAUAUAUUGAAAAGCUUAUGUUUAUGCUUAGACGUCAGACCUAUGCAUCUGAUCUCUAUCACACUCAAUUUUAGUAUAUAAUUAGGGAAUAUCAUGAUAUAUAAUAUAGGCCUAAUUAACGAAUGAGAAAAUCUUUGGUGGUUGAUAUAGAAUUUACUACAUUGAUUCUGGCAGAACUUUGGCAGAUUUAAAAUGUAGUUAGUUAAAACAAUUGCCCUUUUUUUUGUUCACCAAACAAUUGACUUUUGUAUACUUUUUCUCAAGUACUUUUUUCAAUUGAAAAGUUUUUCUUCGCUAAACUAUAUCCUUGGCGUAUUCAGCCAUAUAAAGCUCUUUAGUUAAAAAAAAACUUGCCCAUUUAAUAACUAAGUUAGAACCAUUUGAAACGUUUUGGAAUCAUGUGCUUACGUUAUGCAAAUAUGGGGAAACACAAUACGUGUACACAAGCGUAUUAUGUAUAUGUUUUUGUUUGUGCUACCGAUUUAUGUAUGUAUAAUACCUAUAUUUUUCCUCUUUUAGUAAAAAUCAUUUGUUGCUUCGUUUUUCUUAAAUUAGAAACUAUAGUUUUCUAAUUUAAUUAUACAUGAUUAACAGCAACAAAAGCAAAGGAGAAACCAAUUAAUUAUAUAAAAAUAAUAUGGAGACAACAGAAAAUGAAUUUAUUCUCGCAUGCAGAAUCACCACGAGCGACAUGAGAACUCGCAUCUUCGGGCGGAAAACGAGAAGCUUCGAGGAGACAACCUUAGAUAUCGAGAGGCUCUUGCAAACGCUUCUUGUCCUAAUUGUGGUGGUCCAACUGCCAUUGGAGAAAUGUCCUUCGACGAACACCAACUCCGUCUCGUUCAUCGUGGAUUUGAAUUGGAUUUGGGGGUUUUUAGUUAGUCUUUCAAUUUUUUUUUUUUGUUUCUCGGUUGCUUCUGUUCUAAUUAUUUGUUUUCCUGAUACAGAUGGAUCCCGAAGCAGAGAUAAGAGACACAAAGAGAAGAAAUGAGCACAUCGAUAUGCUUUCAUACGUGUGUGAUUCAGAACACGGGAUUCCGACGAGGUGUCCCUGUGGUGGGAGUAUAAUUCACGAGGUUCGUGGGAAGGAGGAAUACGACACUCUCCCCGGCAAGCGUUUCUUCACCUGCAUAAACUACGAGGUAAAAAACGGGUUCUUGUCUUUUAAAUUAUGUCUUCUGUUUUUGUCUGUUAAUUAACAAUCUGAUAUAGUUUAUGUGUUGUUACCAAGGCUGAUGGUUUUCAUUAUCGUCAGCCUUGGGUCAUUGGUGUGCAGGAGCAUAUCGAACGGCUCACAAGUCGUGUGGAGGAGGUGGAGGCGGUGAUCAAGUGGCUGCCGGAAGUGAAUAAUAAGAUUAAAAGUCUGGAGGUAAUCUGAUUUCCCACUUUUGAAUUUUGUUUUGUAAUUUUUUUCAUGGUUCAUGGGCUGUUGUGGAUAUUUCCUUGGAUAGUCUCCAGCCAAAUCCACCGGUUAGGUGCAGGCGGCGAGCUUCAGGGUGUUUGAUUCAAGAAAUGCCUAAUGGAUACUCCAAGCUGACUUGGGUGGAACAUGUGGAAGUUGAUGACAGAGGAGUUCAUGAUUUGUAUAAACACAUGGUUAGUACUGGUCACGCCUUUGGUGCUAAACGCUGGGUAGCUAUUCUAGACCGCCAAUGCGAGAGGUUAGCUAGCGUCAUGGCUACAAACAUUUCUUCAGGAGAAGUUGGCGGUAUAAACAUAUCCCUUGUUUCACAAGUAAUCUCUCAUAAUAAAAUUUAGAAGCAGAGUUAUAGUGUACUAUACUGAUGAAUGUACAGUGAUAACUAACCAAGAAGGGAGGAGGAGUAUGCUGAAACUGGCGGAGAGGAUGGUUAUAAGCUUUUGUGCAGGAGUGAGUGCUUCAACAGCUCACACUUGGACUACAUUGUCUGGUACAGGAGCUGAAGAUGUUAGAGUGAUGACUAGAAAAAGUGUGGAUGAUCCUGGAAGGCCUCCGGGUAUUGUUCUUAGUGCAGCUACUUCGUUUGGGAUCCCUGUUCCUCCAAAGAGAGUUUUUGACUUCCUCAGAGAUGAGAAUUCAAGAAAUGAGGUAACUCUUUUAGUUUCUAACAACUCUUAUGAAAUAAAAUUUUACAACCCAAAUGAAAAUCAAAUAUAUAAUUAAUAGUUAAUAUUCUAAUUUUAACUAUUACCGUGAAAUAUAAAAAAUUAAAAAUUGAAUAAUAUUUGUAUGAUUUAAAAGACAAAAAUAACCAAUGAAACUAAUUUUGAUAACAAAUUACAAAUAAAUCCAGUUUUUAUCCAUCUAACCUGAAUUUGUUCCGGCUUCACGGUUAAAUCUGGUUUGAGCACCGGUUCGGUCCGGAUUUAAAAACACUGUAUUUAAAUUUUUUCUGAGACAUUGCAGUGGGAUAUUCUGUCAAAUGGUGGAGUUGUACAAGAGAUGGCACAUAUUGCUAAUGGGAGAGAAACAGGAAACUGUGUUUCCCUCCUUCGUGUAAAUGUGAGUAGAUUAUGUGAACUCUUGUUAUAACUCAUAUUAUCAAGGCUAAUGAUUUUGAAUAUUUAUCUUAUGUCACAGAGUGCAAACUCUAGCCAGAGCAACAUGCUGAUUCUACAAGAGAGUUGCACUGACCCUACAGCUUCAUUUGUGAUCUAUGCACCAGUGGAUAUUGUAGCGAUGAACAUAGUGCUUAAUGGAGGUGAUCCAGACUAUGUAGCUCUUCUUCCAUCAGGUUUUGCUAUACUUCCUGAUGGUAAUGCGAAUGGUGGAGGAGAAGGAGGGUCGUUGUUGACGGUUGCUUUUCAGAUUCUGGUUGACUCGGUUCCAACGGCUAAGCUGUCUCUUGGAUCUGUUGCAACUGUGAACAAUUUGAUUGCUUGCACUGUUGAGAGGAUCAAAGCUUCCAUGUCUUGUGAGACUGCUUGAAGAAACACAGAGAGGAUGAUUCGGUUGAAGAGAGUUUUUUGGUGUUGAAAGGGGGAGGAGUCAAGAGCGAACCUUACAAGAUAUACCAUUGAGUAAGGUUAUGGAUUGUAGUGUUAAGUUUUGCUCUGCUUAUUUGUUGAAACUAUAAGCAGUGACAAAACUUUUUACUUGAGAGUGACAAUGCAAAUGGUGUAAAGAGGUUCGGGAAUUGACUUCCCUUGCAACAUACUUGGUCAGAGAUGCUUUUCAACUUGUUUUUUUUUUUGUGUCACUUCUUUCAAAGCUUUUGGUUAGAAAGACCUUAAUCAAGAAUUUGAAGUUUGUAUUCUUUUGGGUUUAAAUUUUGUUUAUAUUGAAAGUAUUGUUUUAUUUCUCUUAAACUUUUUAUGUGUCUUUGCUUAUUGCUUUGUAAGCCUAUUAAAGUUGGUUUAUCAGAAAGCUCACACUUUAGGUUAUUAUGGUUUCAGCUUAAACUGCACCAAAGAUAUAUCAUGAAUCUGAUACCAACCAAGGAAAAGUAUCAUUAAUACUCUGUGACAUAAAGAAAAGAGAUGAAAAAAGGACUAAAUCAAAUGAGAAACUCACCCCUCAAACAAACUUUCUUCUUGUCAAAACAAGGGAUCUUUCGGUCGAAUGAGACACAUUCCCUGAACAUAUCAUUUCCCCAAAGCUCAGCAGCCUAAAGAUUCACAAAAAUAAUAUGAGAAAAAAAGAUGCAACAUCCAAAAAAAAAAAAUACAAUAUCCAAAAAUGUAACUGCUUUGCUAACUGUUGGUCUACUUAACCGAACUAACAAACCGUAAGGAAAUCUCCGGUUCAGUUAAAUCGUCUUUCUUUCCGGUUCAGUCAAGUUAAGUAUUGAAUAUUAAUUUUUCUAACAGCUGAGCAAAGACAGAGUAAGAGAGAAAGGAUGAGCGAGACGAGACCAGUGCCGAGGAGAGAAAGCCCGUGGGGUUUACCGGAAGGUCACCGUGAGCCCAAAGCUCACCGCUGCAACGAUCGCGUCGAGGACGUCGUCCAGGUUUUUCAUUCUUUCCUUUGGAUCUCUCUCUCUCAAAGUAUUCUCCUAAGAUUUGCUGUUGAGAUUCAAUAUAAUCUGAUAUUUAUAGGCUUCUCUUAAUUCGAAUCGAACCAGAAAUGGUCAGUGAGAUUUAAAUUGAUGAAAGAUGACAACUUGUAGCAACUAUUGGAAUUGUUGUGAUCCUUACAUAGUGUUUUUAUGCAUUAAAGGAAUUGAAUUUGCUUGCCACUGAACAUGAUUCUCGUAUAUGCUAAAAUCUUUUGGCAGGCGUUUUUCGAGGGAAACCCAUUUAAGACAGUUCCAGGACCUUUUAAACUAUUCUACCGUUGCAUGCGCUCUAAGCCAGGGUAUGUAUGUGUGCAAUCUCAUACUCUUACCAUGAUCGAUCAUAGUCUUGUUGUUGUUGUUGACAAUAAGGCUACAGGGUCAUAAAGUGUUUACCUUUAAGCCUUUUCUCUUCGCUCUUAAAUCAUUAGGCUCUGCACCAUUCAUCUUGUUUGUUUAUUUCAGAGAGGAACCAACAGAGCCAUUCACAUACCUUGACCUGGAACCUCCAAAGAGACAAGCAAAACUUGAAGAAAAGUGAACUACCCACUCCUUUUUUAUUUACCUUGCAGCUUUUUAUCUGACCAUGUAAGCGCUAAUGCUAAGAUAGUGAUUUUAAGUUUUCAUUCAUGUAUCAGCAACAUCUUCUGACUUUAUCAUGAUGCCAAUAAAAUUAAUAUUUGAGUUUCAUUUCAGUUUUAUCUUGUGAUGAUUCUGUUACUUCUGAUGAUGAGUUAAAGAAAGAUGAGUUUUCAUUACGUAUCAGGGUAAAGCUUUACAGUUUAUCUCUGGCUUUUGGUUCCUUGCACUUUUCUAUUACAAAAUCUUAUGAUAGUUUCUUCUAUCCUCUAAGUAUGUUCAGAGUCAUUUAUAUGAAUCGCUGAAUCUUAUCCGUUUCAAGGAAUGUCACUACGUUGUGAAUGUGAACUCCCAGCUCCACUUUGGCUACUCUUGAGUUUCUUACCACUCUUCUCUUUCAGCAUCUCCUUGAUCUCUGCCUCCUUCGUAUCCACAACUUUGAUCAACUCCUUGAAACUCGGCGCUCGUAAACCUCUCCCUGAUCGAGACGACUCACUCACUUCACAUGCCCUUUCCUCUUCAUCCCCACUAUCUGGCAAUAACCUCUGGUACUGCCAGAAGACCCUCCAGAAGAAAACAGUGAGUGCUACAAAGCAAGUGAUGCCACAGAUAAGAAAGAGUCCCCAGAAACUCUUGAGCGAAAGCUCAGAGUUCUCGCCGUUCGAUAUCUGCAUAGAGCAUUCGUGCUUGUAGUUAAGCCAUUUCCUGUGUAUCUUCUCAAGCUCCCCCUCUUCAGAGAGCUGCAGGAUAGCAGUAGACAUGUCUACCGCUAAAGGGGAGUCUCUCUGGAAUGCGAAACCCCAGCCUGUGCGUGUGAACACUUGUCCCACUGUACGGUACUUGCAGUUACUGUUUGUCAAAAGGACUUCGACGUAAGGAAGCUCGUCUACAAUGGCUGCAACGCCGCCGGCUUUGGGACCGAGUUGGAGAGCAGAGAGGUAGUGUUCUUCGUCUCUUAGUGGAACAAUCCUGUGAGGAGAUAUGUUAAGCUCGUUGACAAGAUAGUUUCUAGCGAAAGUGCCGUCUUGAACACCUAUUGGUUCAUUGCUUUGUAUCAAGCUAUCUAUUCCUUCAAUCCGAGAUGUCAGCUGCUGAACGGUUAGGAUCGAAGUGAGGCUAGCUGUGUAGCUUGAGUUGAUGAUGUUCUCUCUCACUUUCCUCUCUCUCUCUCUCUAAGAUUUGUACCUACCUUUCAAACACUUCGCCAAAAACCGCUUCACAAAACCAUCACUGGUUUUCCGGCAAACAAAUCUCGGACCAGACAUCGAUAUCGAUAUCGAUUCACUCCUCUCUCUCUCCCUCUAGGGUUUCUUCGCUUCUUCCUCGCAGUGUAUGUUUCGAGCACCUCAUCAUUUCUCUGGUGAUAUUUAGGUAGUUUAUCGUAAUAUUUGAAUAUAAUCUUUUUUUUUACUUUGUCUAACGGGUUGGAUCAUUCCACUAAAAUUUAUCAGCCUCUUCAUAAGACUCUCAUUUUCAUGAUG